rnacentral:misc_RNA from 1 species
AACGCACAUUGCGCCCCCUGGCAUUCCGGGGGGCAUGCCUGUCCGAGCGUCAUUUCUGCCCUCAAGCACGGCUUGUGUGUUGGGUGUGGUCCCCCUGGGGACCUGCCUGAAAGGCAGUGGCGACGCCCGCCUAGGUCCUCGAGCGUAUGGGGCUUUGUCACCCGCUCGGGAAGGAUCUACGGGCGUUGGUCUUCCAUAUUUUUUUCCACGGUUGACCUCGGAUCAGGUAGGAGUUACCCGCUGAACUUAA